rnacentral:rRNA from 1 species
GGUGAACGUUGGCGGUGUGCCUAAUACAUGCAAGUCGAACGGAGUUAGUAGCAAUACUGGCUCAGUGGCGAACGGGUGAGUAACGCGUUGGUGAUCUGCCUUGAAGUGUGGAAUAACGUUUCGAAAGGAACGCUAAUACCGCAUGUGCUCUCGAUUUUCAGAAAGUUGAGAGUAAAGGAUUUAUUCGCUUCAAGAGGAGCCUGCGUCCCAUCAGCUGGUUGGUAGGGUAACGGCCUACCAAGGCUAUGACGGGUAGGGGACCUGAGAGGGUGGCCCCCCACAAUGGAACUGAAACACGGUCCAUACACCUACGGGUGGCAGCAGUAGGGAAUAUUCCGCAAUGGACGAAAGUCUGACGGAGCGACGCCGCGUGGAUGAAGAAGGCCGAAAGGUUGUAAAA